rfam:Lactobacillus ghanensis DSM 18630 NODE_11, whole genome shotgun sequence.
GCACAACUGCAACCGCACAUAAAUAGUUUUAAAGUCAGUGACUGCUGUUUGUGGCGAGUCUAAGCAAACUC